GAUGAACGCUGGCGGCGUGCCUAAUACAUGCAAGUCGAGCGAACAGAUGAUGAGCUUGCUCCUCUGACGUUAGCGGCGGACGGGUGAGUAACACGUGGAUAACCUACCUAUAAGACUGGGAUAACUUCGGGAAACCGGAUCUAAUACUGGCUAAUAUAUUGAACCGCAUGGUUCAAUAGUGAAAGACGGUUUUGCUGUCACUUAUAGAUGGAUCCGCGCCGCAUUAGCUAGUUGGUAAGGUAACGGCUUACCAAGGCAACGAUGCGUAGCCGACCUGAGAGGAUGAUCAGCCACACUGGAACUGAGACACGGUCCAGACUCCUACGGGAGGCAGCAGUGGGGAAUCUUCCACAAUGGGCGAAAGCCUGACGCAGCAACGCCGCGUGAGUGAUGAAGGUCUUCGGAUCGUAAAACUCUUUUAUUGGGAAAGAACAGAUGUGUAAGUAUCUAUGGACGUCUUGACGGUACCUAAUCAGAAAGCCCCGGCUAACUUCGUG
rnacentral:rRNA from 1 species